rnacentral:rRNA from 1 species
GGGGGCCCGCAAGCGGUGGAGCAUGUGGUUCAAUUCGACGCAACGCGAAAAACCUUACCUGGGCUCGAAAUGUAGUGGAAUCGGGUGGAAACAUCCGCGUCUCGCAAGAGACUGCUAUAUAGGUGCUGCAUGGCUGUCGUCAGCUCGUGUCGUGAGAUGUUGGGUUAAGUCCCGCAACGAGCGCAACCCUUAUCCCUAGUUGCCAUCGGGUCAAGCCGGGCACUCUAGUGAAACCGCCCGGGAUAACCGGGAGGAAGGUGGGGAUGACGUCAAGUCCUCAUGGCCUUUAUGUCCAGGGCUACACACGUGCUACAAUGGUCGGUACAAACCGUCGCAAACCCGCGAGGGGGAGCUAAUCGGAAAAAGCCGGCCUCAGUUCGGAUUGGAGUCUGCAACCCGACUCCAUGAAGCUGGAAUCGCUAGUAAUCGCGGAUCAGAACGCCGCGGUGAAUACGUUCCCGGGGCCUUGUACACACC